UUGUCAAGAAAGCUAGGAAGAAAGCUAUUUGGGAACUUUCAGCAGUUAUCCGCUCCGCACUUCGCUAUCGGAGCAAUGUUACAUGGAUUAUUACUCGGGGUGUUCGACACAGGUAUUCAACUUGGAUACAUAUAAGUACUUAGUAUUACUUUUUUUCUCUUUCUUUUUUUUUUUAGUACUACUUUUUUCCUCUCUUUUUUUUUUUUUUUUUUUUUGGCAUUAUCUGUAUAUGCUUUGAAAGGUUGAGGUAACUUGCUCAUGUUUAUUUUACAUGACACUUUUGUAAAUUUGAAAUUUUUUCAUUCACAAUUGCUCAUAUACCUGUAAUGAGAUGUUCUUAUAGCCAUUAAAUUGUGACUAUAGAAUAUUGUGUAAGACCACAAAUUCUCAGAGCACGAACAUACAUACUUUUAACUUGAUUGUGUAUACAUACUUUUAACUUGAUUGUGUUCUAAAUCUUUUUUUCUUUUUAACUUCAUGUAAGGUUAAUAAAUACAAUCAGAUAAAAUAAAACGGAAAGAAUAGUAUGUUUAUCUAUGUCAUGGAAUGUUCUAGUCCAAUGAGAAAAUGAUUUGAUGGUGCAGGUUAGAAGAAGUUCAGUCAAAAUGGUUAAAGGAGUCAAAGUGCUCACUUCUCAGAUAUCUGUCAAUAUUAUUCUUGCAAAAAUGGCAUUUUUUCUAGCAAGAAAUUAUUCAAGAAAUCCAUGUUUAUUCACAUUUUCAGUCAGGUAUAUAUGGCUUUUUGGACAAAAAAAAUUAGAGGGGAAUGUUAAUUUUUCCAAAGUCUGUUUAUACAUGGUGUCAACUUCAUUACCAGUUACUAGUAGGGCCUCC
rnacentral:lncRNA from 1 species